UAGCGUGUCCCAGUCCACCAAACACCAGCAGCACCCCGCCCCACCGUUCCAGCAGUGUACCACCCCCCCCAGUAGCAGCACCCCUCCAAAUCUCCCCAGCCCCACUUCCCCUCAACCCAGCCUCCUGAUUGAUGGGGUUCCUAAUACUUUAAACACCUCUCCUCCAGGACUUGUAAAGAUCUGAUAUUCUGUACAGAAUGCCCCCCAUUGUCAUACACUGAUGUUCAGUUCCUCUUCAACUAUAUACAUAGAUGGCAGAUUGUAGUAUUUAGAUGGUAGGUUGUAGUAUUUAGAUGUAGAUGGCAGAUUGUAGUAUUUAGAUGGUAGGUUGUAGUAUUUAGAUGUAGAUGGCAGAUUGUAGUAUUUAGAUGGUAGAUUGUAGUAUUUAGAUGGCAGAUUGUAGUAUUUAGAUGGCAGAUUGUAGUAUUUAGAUGUAGAUGGUAGGUUGUAGUAUUUAGAUGGUAGGUUGUAGUAUUUAGAUGUAGGUUGUAGUAUUUAGUUCAGCAGAUAACUUAAUACUUUCAAUAAAUGUUUUUUUUCUGACACCGUGUAGUACA
rnacentral:lncRNA from 1 species